rnacentral:lncRNA from 1 species
UGUGAGCACUAUCUCCUAAACCCCUGUCUGAAAGCUGAUUUAGUUCUGACAUCAUCUUCCACUGAAGUAUCAGUGUUGCCGCCAAAAACACCUGGUGUUUGCUUGGCAUCUUUCCCAUCCCAGUCUCAACUUGUCUCAGGCCAGCUUACCUGAGAUCUACGGAGAACCCAGCACGAGCAUCUAAUCGUGGAAAAUGCAAGUCUUGUCAUCAGAACUCCAAAGUUUCAUUUGUAACUCUACUAACUAGGUGAGCUGGGCUUGCCACCCACUGCUCAGAAUCUUUGUGUCCUCUUUAAAUUGGGAUUAAUAUCUACCAACAAGAGAGAUGUGAAGCCAAAUUAGA